rnacentral:rRNA from 1 species
UACGUAGGGGGCAAGCGUUGUCCGGAUUUAUUGGGCGUAAAGAGCGUGUAGGCGGUUUGGUAGGUCCGUUGUGAAAACUCGAGGCUCAACCUCGAGACGCCGAUGGAAACCAUCAGACUAGAGUCCGGAAGAGGAGAGUGGAAUGUCCUGGUGUAGCGGUGAAAUGCGCAGAUAUCAGGAAGAACACCCGUGGCUAAGGCGGCUCUCUAGUACGGUACUGACGCUGAGACGCGAAAGCGUGGGGAGCGAACAGG